rnacentral:rRNA from 1 species
AUACAAGGGGGCUAGCGUUGUUCGGAAUUACUGGGCGUAAAGCGCAUGUAGGCGGACAUUUAAGUCAGGGGUGAAAUCCCGGGGCUCAACCUCGGAACUGCCUUUGAUACUGGGUGUCUAGAGUGUGGAAGAGGUAAGUGGAAUUUCUAGUGUAGCGGUUAAAAUGCGUAGAUAUUCGGAGGAACACCAGUGGCGAAGGCGGCUUACUGGUCCAUUACUGACGCUGAGGUGCGAAAGCGU